AUUGAACGCUGGCGGCAGGCCUAACACAUGCAAGUCGAGCGAGCGGCGGACGGGUGAGUAAUGUAUGGGGACUGCCCGAUAGAGGGGGAUAACUACUGGAAACGGUGGCUAAUACCGAAUACUAUCGGAUAACCCAUAUGGGAUUAGCUAGUAGGUGGGGUAAAGGCUCACCUAGGCGACGAUCUCUAGCUGGUCUGAGAGGAUGAUCAGCCACACGUGGGCUGGGACACUGCCCAGACUCCUACGGAGGCAGCAGUGGGGAAUAUUGCACAAGGGGCUCAAGCCUGUUGCAGCCAUGCCGCGUGUAUGAAUAAGGCCUUAGGGUUGUAAAGUACUUUCAUCGGGGAGGCGUUACCCGCAGAAGAAGCACCGGCUAACUCCGUGCCAGCAGCCGCGGUAAUAC
rnacentral:rRNA from 1 species